CGUAGGUGGCAAGCGUUGUCCGGAUUUAUUGGGUUUAAAGGGUGCGUAGGCGGUGAUUUAAGUCAGUGGUGAAAUACUUCAGCUUAACUGGAGAGGUGCCAUUGAUAUUGGGUCACUUGAGUACUGAUGAGGUAGGCGGAAUGGACGGUGUAGCGGUGAAAUGCUUAGAUAUCGUCCAGAACACCGAUAGCGAAGGCAGCUUACUAAGGAGUAACUGACGCUGAGGCACGAAAGUGUUGGGGAUCAAACAGGAUUAGAUACCCUGGUAGUCCACACUGUAAACGAUGAUCACUCGAUGUUGGCGAUACACAGCCAGCGUCUUAGCAAAAGCGAUAAGUGAUCCACCUGGGGAGUACGCCGGCAACGGUG
rnacentral:rRNA from 1 species